CAGGCGAUAGGUAGUUGCGGACUCAUGGUACAAAAAAGUCCACGGACUUAAUUUAGUGAGUCUGAGGAAAGUCCGGGCUCCCGAAAGAUCAAACUUGCUGGGUAACGCCCAGUGCGGGCGACCGUGAGGAUAGUGCCACAGAAAGAUACCGCCGCUUGAAAGGCUCAAGCUCAAGGCUAAAGGCUAAAUCAUGGUUUAGCCUUCAUACCUUAGCUUUUAGCCUUUCCUCGGUAAGGGUGCAAAGGUGCGGUAAGAGCGCACCAGCAGCAUCGAGAGAUGCUGGCUCGGUAAACCCCGGUUGGAAGCAAGGCUGCGGAACAAGGGUUGGUCUUUUACCCGUUCCACGCAAAGGUGGCGAUCCCAUCUCUGCCCGUCCGCUUGAGGUGCUUGGUAACAAGUUGCCCAGAUAGAUAACUGCCCUCUCAAAUGCAUGUCAUUUGAGAUAACAGAACCCGGCUUAUGUCCUGCUCU
rnacentral:RNase_P_RNA from 1 species